AUUGAACGCUGGCGGCAGGCCUAACACAUGCAAGUCGAACGGUAACAGGAAGAAGCUUGCUUCUUUGCUGACGAGUGGCGGACGGGUGAGUAAUGUCUGGGAAACUGCAUGAUGGAGGGGGAUAACUACUGGAAACGGUAGCUAAUACCGCAUAACGUCGCAAGACCAAAAAGGGGGACCUUAGGGCCUCUUGCCAUCGGAUGUGCCCAGAUGGGAUUAGCUAGUAGGUGGGGUAACGGCUCACCUAGGCGACGAUCCCUAGCUGGUCUGAGAGGAUGACCCGCCACACUGGAACUGAGACAAGGUGCAGACUCCUACGGGAGGCAGCAGUGGGGAAUAUUGCACAAUGGGCGCAAGCCUGAUGCAGCAAUGCCGAGUGGAUGAAGAAGGCCUUCGGGUUGUAAAGUACUUUCAGCGUAGAGGAAGGGAGUAAAUUUAAUACCUUUGCUCAUUGACGUUACCCGCAGAAGAAGCACCGGCUAACUCCGUG
rnacentral:rRNA from 1 species